GAUCUGUGAUGAUUUUUAGAAUAUAUCUGAUUCUAAAAUUGAUGUCUACUACUACUUUAGCUCUAGAAUUACUCUGAGAUCUG
rnacentral:snoRNA from 1 species